rnacentral:rRNA from 1 species
AACGCUAGCUACAGGCUUAACACAUGCAAGUCGAGGGGAAACGACAUCGAAGGCUUGCUUUUGAUGGGUGUCGACCGGCGCACGGGUGAGUAACGCGUAUCCAACCUGCCCACCACUUGGGGAUAACCUUGCGAAAGUAAGACUAAUACCCAAUGAUAUCUCUAGAAGACAUCUGAAAGAGAUUAAAGAUUUAUCGGUGAUGGAUGGGGAUGCGUCUGAUUAGCUUGUUGGCGGGGUAACGGCCCACCAAGGCAACGAUCAGUAGGGGUUCUGAGAGGAAGGUCCCCCACAUUGGAACUGAGACACGGUCCAAACUCCUACGGGAGGCAGCAGUGAGGAAUAUUGGUCAAUGGACGAGAGUCUGAACCAGCCAAGUAGCGUGCAGGAAGACGGCCCUAUGGGUUGUAAACUGCUUUUAUAAGGGAAUAAAGUGAGUCUCGUGAGACUUUUUGCAUGUACCUUAUGAAUAAGGACCGGCUAAUUCCGUGCCAGCAGCCGCGGUAAUACGGAAGGUCCGGGCGUUAUCCGGAUUUAUUGGGUUUAAAGGGAGCGUAGGCCGGAGAUUAAGCGUGUUGUGAAAUGUAGAUGCUCAACAUCUGAACUGCAGCGCGAACUGGUUUCCUUGAGUACGCACAAAGUGGGCGGAAUUCGUGGUGUAGCGGUGAAAUGCUUAGAUAUCACGAAGAACUCCGAUUG